rnacentral:rRNA from 1 species
GACGAACGCUGGCGGCGUGCUUAACACAUGCAAGUCGAACGGAAAGGCCCUGCUUUUGUGGGGUGCUCGAGUGGCGAACGGGUGAGUAACACGUGAGUAACCUGCCCUUGAAUUUGGGAUAACUUCAGGAAACUGGGGCUAAUACCGGAUAGGAGCUCCUGCUGCAUGGUGGGGGUUGGAAAGUUUCGGCGGUUGGGGAUGGACUCGCGGCUUAUCAGCUUGUUGGUGGGGUAGUGGCUUACCAAGGCUUUGACGGGUAGCCGGCCUGAGAGGGUGACCGGCCACAUUGGGACUGAGCUACGGCCCAGACUCCUACGGGAGGCAGCAGUGUGGAAUAUUGCACGAUGGGCGGACGCCUGAUGCAUCAACGCCGCGUGCGGGAUGACGGCCUUCGGGUUGUAAACCGCUUUCGCCUGUGACGAAGCGUGAGUGACGGUAAUGGGUAAAGAAGCACCGGCUAACUACGUG